UAGGACCAUCCAAACUCAAACCCCCUCCAAAUCACUCUCACCCCGUAAAACCCCAAAACGCAAAACCCCAAUAACCCCUCUCUCUCUCGUCGGAGAUUGUUAUUCGCUCGUCGGUGCUGCGUGUUCGAGCUUUCUCUCUCCUCCCUCGAAUCUCUCUCUGUUCCGUCGAUAUGUGGUUGUUCGGAGUCGGUGUUGCCGCGAAUCUUGCUGUUGCUCGCCGGUGAAAGGUGACCGUCGUGGAGUCGUUGUUUCAUGAAUUCAACCUUUUUUUCUUUAUCUCAGAUACUUGGUUAUUUCAUGUUUUCAUGAUCCGAAUUUCUGGGUAUAACUUGUUAAUUCAUGUUUGUUUGUUUCAUGGAACUAAAUGGUAACUAAAUUUAUGAUACAAUUUGAAGAUGGGCAUAUUUUCAUGCCAUUGUUCACUUGAUUAAAUCAUCAGUUUUGGGCUCUGGGCGGCUGCCCCUCUUGCCCUCUGCUCGGGCCUGCUUUUCGUUAUAAUGCGAAUUGAAUUAAUGAAAUCCAUGUUCAAUACCUCAAAUAUAUAUUUUUUAGGUUCAAAAUCAAUAACAAGAACAAUUUCAUCAGCACAGUAUGUUGCAUCAAGGGCUAGAGACCCAACAUUUGAGAAAUAUAUGGACCAUUAUAAGAAGCUUGUUAAAGUAAUUGCAAUUUCAGACCUUAUUCUUGCAAACCCUAAUAAAAAUCCUCCCUCUGUUUCACUUGAUUUCUUGUCUAGGCUCUCCCAAAGGCUUCACCUUAAUCGUGGUGCCCCAUCGUUUCUUCGUCGCUACCCUCACAUUUUUGAGAUUUUCUAUGAUCCCACAAAGUCCAUGCCCUUUUGUAAAUUAACAGACAAAGUGCUUGAAAUUUCUCGAAUGGAGGCGGCAGCUAUUAAUGAGUCGUUGUCGUUGGUUGUAGAACGAUUAGUUAGGGUUCUUUCGAUGUCAAUAGAUAAGUCAUUGCCUUUAAGAGCGAUUUUUAAAGUAUGGAGGGAGUUGGGUCUUCCUGAUGAUUUUGAGGAGUCUGUUAUAGCUCGGAAUCCGCAGCUGUUUUUGCUUUGUGAUGGGAAUGAGCCUAAUACUCAUGUCUUGAAACUUGUUACUAGUUAUCCUAGUGGUCAUUUUACUGCCAUAAUUGAGGAUUGGCGGGUGUUGGAGUGUUGUAAGGAGGAUUCAAAGGUUGAUAGGACGGAGAUUCAAUGUAGUUUUAAGCAAGGGUUUCCUCCAGGAAUGAAGUUGAGGAAGACUUUCAAGGCAAAGGUUAAGGAAUGGCAGAGAUUGCCAUAUAUUGGGCCAUAUGAGGAGGUAGGAGUGAAGAAGAGAACAAAGAGUGGCGUAAAGGGGUUGGAGAAACGAGCUGUUGCAAUUGUUCAUGAAUUCAUGAGUUUGACUGUUGAGAAGAUGGUGGAGGUGGAGAAGAUCAGCCAUUUCAGGAAGUGUUUUGCGAUUGAUUUGAAUAUCAGGGAUCUUUUUCUGGACCACCCUGGGAUAUUUUAUUUAUCCACCAAAGGAAAGAGGGAAACAGUUUUCCUGAGAGAUGCUUAUGAAAGGGGACGCUUGAUCAAUCCGAAUCCUGUGUAUGAAGCUAGGAUGAAGCUACUUUAUUUGGUUAUGUUGGAACGUCGUGGACUGUUAACUAUGUCUCAAAAUACAGUAAAUGAGGAAGAUGAUAUGGGAAACGAAGGCAAUAGUCAGAUUUCUGCUACUUCAGUUUCCAGCAAUGUGGACAGAGAUCAAUGAUGUGGGAGCAAAUACUGCGGGUUAAAUUGCUGGACUGAUGUCGGUUUGGAAUUUGGAGAGAUCUCUUUUAAUUUAGAGAAUUUGGGUGCAUUACAACAAAUUCCUUGUGGAGUAUGCAUAUGAUGAUCUUCUGCCACUGAUGCUGAAUUGCGGUUAGUGAGAGUGAUUAGUGAUUAUAACGAGUAUAAAUGAUCUGGCGGUAAGAAGAAGGCUAUUAUGCAUAGUAUGCAGAGACUCCGUACUUGGUUAAUCCUAUCGCCAGAUAAUUCAAGGCAUACAUCAACAGUAAGUAUGCUCAUUUCUCGGCAGGCAACUUAGCAUGAAUAUACCAUGCAUGUUGUUUAUGCCGAUUUUGUACCAAGUACUAAAAAGGUUUAGGUGCCAACAACAAAAUCAUCAUACUGAUAUUAAAUGACAUGAUAAAUAAAAUGAAUUGCGUAAAGAGUAAAAUAAUGAAAGAAGCAAGAAAUUGUUGACGCGGAAAACCCAAAAGGGAAAAAUCGCGGGUGAUGCUCUUGAUCACCAAUCCAUUAAUAUGACGCUUGAAGUAGAUGUUACAAUAGUAGCUGAUUACAAUGAUGAUGGAACUCAAAGUAUUUAGAGAGAAGAAUAACAGGUAGGUCUUUUUAGAGAGAGACGAUGAGAGUGAAAAUAAAGAACAUAAGUCAAAACUAGGUUACAAAUUAUGUAUAUAUACUACUAAGAAAAUAUCUCCCCAGCUGCUUUAGAGUUGUUCCACAAUUUAAGGGUUCCGUCAACGCAAUCCCGCAUAUAUCUCAACCGCCCAGAAUGACGCCAAGUAACGUCGCUUGACUUAGUCUCCCCACUUCCUUUGCCAAACUGCAACAUAAAUUAGAAAUUCGAAAUGCUUAGGGAAGUCCGCCUAUUCCAGAAAAUCGAGGGCCCAACAAUUGCCCCUGAUUGACGCGUGUCCGAAACCCAGUUGUAAGAAAACCGUCAAUCAUCACGUUGGGAAAAACCGCCCACUUUCUCCACUUCCACACGCUUCCCUAUUUAAGAGAGUCCCAUCAUCCACUUUGUCCUUUCACAUCCCCCUUUUUCACCAACUCACUUCUCUCUCUUCAUUAAAUUCCUCCGAAUUUUGUUUCCUCUCCAAACGGCUACUUCCUCAGGUGAUUUCUUCAACCUCUUGAAGACCCAAGAACCAGGUAACUCCUUCUUCCUAAAUUCCUCCGAAUUUUGUUUCUUUAAAUGGCCCCCAAAGAAAAUCUUCCCAAGAUUAGAAAAUCAAAAAGAACUUCAAAAAUGGCAGAAAGUUCAGACGAAGUAGUUAUUUUAGAAACUGGGGUAAUUGGGGGAAAGAGUAUCGCCAGCGAAUUCACUGAAGAUGAUGUAAUUACUUUAAUAGAAAAACGUAUAGUGCCCGAAAAAUGUAUGACAAGGAUUCCCGAUGAAGAACAACGACCCGACGACUGCCCCAGUGGGUGGGUAGUUUUGUAUGAAUAUCCCUUCAAGAUUGGGUACUCCCUCCCCUUUAACUCUCUCAUGACUCAACUCUUAACUGUCAUGCAAGUCAGUCCAGGCCAAAUCAUGCCACUUGUUUGGCGUGUAGUUCAUGUAAUUGACAAAUUGGCCCAAGACUCGAAUGUGGACUUCACCCUAGAAGACCUUCUAUACAUGUAAGACAUUAAAAGAGUAGAGGUGUCUAGGUACACUUUUUUCUUAAAACCAGGAAAACCAUCUUUGGUAGAAAAUUCUGGGGCUAAUGACAGGGGAUGGAAGAAAAGAUACUUUUUUGUAGAGAAGAAUUCUUUGGGGAAGAGCUUUGAAUACUUACAUGACGGAUGGAAUUCCGAAGAAAUCCUACCUCUGCCCGUCGAAGAUUCGUCUCUUAACAGAGCCAAAAUCAACCAACUUUUCCAGAAAUACUCCCCCAAGGAAAGAACAUUCCGCAACAAGUUUGAACUGACGUCGUCAGAAGGAGACGUCUUGCCCCAAUCUACAGAGGAACACACAACCAACACCAGUCCCUCUAUGGCGUCAGAGAACACCAUGUCUACUAGAUCAAAGACCCCUACCGUCGGCCUCUCUGAAGCGGAAAUGCUAGAACGGGCCAGGAAGAGAAAACAGGCCGCAAGUGCUUCUGCUGUGACGCCGUCAUCCAUGGGCGCUCCCAAGAUUGCUAGGACGGCGCCUCCAACAGAGACCCCCAAACCUGUGAAGACGCCUCUUGGAGAAGGAGAAACUUUUACUAUCUCCCUUCCCAAGAACUUCUGUGAAAUCACCGCCCCGACAAUCUUCCCGUCGGCGGAGAAGCUGGCGUUUCCCGCACCUCAGCGUCGCCUAGCCAGCCUGCCCUUGCUCACAGUGGCGAACGAAGGAUUGGCCCUGCAAAUACAUGCGUCACAACAUUCUCUGGCCCUACGUUCUGCUCCCUCACUCUAGAGAAGGAGUGCAAGACACUCCGCGAGAAGUUGGACCGGUCUUCGGCGUCGUUGACAGCAGCAGAAAAGAAGGUGGCAGAGCUGUCCGAGGAGUUGGCUAAGGAGAAAGGCCAGAAUGCUAGCCACGUGAUCAGCCUGGCGUCGAUGAAGGAGGAGACGGACGCCACAAUCGCCAGCCUCCGUGAAGAACUGAUGGACGCCGCUAGCCGAUACACCUGGAAGACUAAGGCAAGGUUGAUGAAGCAGUUCCUGGAAGGGCAGACGUCGAAGUGGACGCCUGAAGCAGACAUUCAGCAAUUCCUGGAAGUUUUUGGGACGCCGGAAGAUCUGAUCCCUGAAGGCGAGAGUAACGCCGACGUCAUGGCGACGGCGGAUUCGGGCGUCAAUGCUGAAACUGACGGCACCGCUUGAUUCUCACUAGUUCCUGCAAGGUGCUGCGUCACCGAUAAUCGUUAAUUAGUUUUUGCAGUAGUUGCUUCAAGGUGAUAUGUCACCGAAACUUUAUAUUCUGUGAUGUUUCUUUUGCUACACUUUAGUAAUUUUGCUUUGUAUGUUUUCGAAACGAUGUUAUGUUGGGUUCAAGAAUUGUGUUGAUGUUA